rnacentral:rRNA from 1 species
UACGUAGGCAGCGAGCGUUGUUCGGAAUUACUGGGCGUAAAGAGUGUGUAGGCGGUGCUCUAAGUUCGGUGUGAAAUCUCCCGGCUUAACUGGGAGGGUGCGCCGGAAACUGGAGUGCUCGAGCGUGGGAGAGGAAAGCGGAAUUCCUGGUGUAGCGGUGAAAUGCGUAGAUAUCAGGAGGAACACCUGCGGUGUAGACGGCUUUCUGGACCAUUGCUGACGCUGAGACACGAAAGCGUGGGGAGCAAAAGGG